UACAGAGGGUGCAAGCGUUGUUCGGAAUUACUGGGCGUAAAGCGCGUGUAGGCGGUUUUAUAAGUCGGUCGUGAAAGCCCUGGGCUUAACCCAGGAACUGCGAUCGAAACUGUGAGACUAGAGUAUCGGAGGGGGUGGCGGAAUUCCCGGUGUAGAGGUGAAAUUCGUAGAUAUCGGGAGGAACACCUGUGGCGAAGGCGGCCACCUGGAAGAUUACUGACGCUGAGACGCGAAAGCGUGGGGAGCAAACAGG
rnacentral:rRNA from 1 species